GGCAAGCGGUUUUGGAUGAACUGCUUGUCAAAAUGCCAAUGGCAAGCGGUUUUGGAUGAACCGCUUACCAAAAUGUAAAUGGCAAGAAGUUUGAGCAUUGAGCCGCUUGCCAUUUGGUCAAAAAAACCUAGAAAAGUAAAACCCAGCUCACGUCCUCAUCUUCUCUCUCCUCCGUCCCCUUUCCCCUCAUUUUCACGCUCUCUCUCCUCUGAUCUAUCCCCUCAUUUUCACGUUCUCUCUCCUCUUUUUCCCCUCCAUUACGCCUUAGUUCUUUCUCCUCUAUCUCCCCUCCAUCCUUUAUCUUCUUCUCUUUCUUCUCUUAUCUCCUUUCUCAGCCUCCCUUCUUUCCUUUCUCACGCCUCACCACAACGAAGGACGACGGACACAUAUCUCACGCCUCACCACAACGAAGAACAACGAACGACGAACGCCUCAGUACCCAACGACGAGAAUGAAGAAAACGUUUGGGUUCAGUUUUCCGGCUCGGCGUUAGGGUUCAGAUUGCUGCUUCUCAAGUCAUAUCUCACUUGAUUUUCCGAUACGGUGAAUCGGGAUAGGGUGGUGGUGGUAAUACGGGUUAAGGUGGUUGGUGGUUGGUGGUGGCAGCUGGUGGUGUGCACGGCUGGUGAACAAGAGCAGCAUCAGUUUUAUUUUGCUUGUUUUUUUUUUUUUUUUUUUUUUUUUUUUUUUUUUUUUAUGAAAAUGUAAUAUUACAACAAUUAAUUAAUAAAAAUAUUAAUGUUUUUGCAUAUAUUAUGUUUGUGUUACAAUUUAAUUGAAAAAACUAA